UACGGGGGGGGCAAGCGUUGUUCGGAAUUACUGGGCGUAAAGGGCUCGUAGGCGGCCAACGAAGUCAGACGUGAAAUCCCUCGGCUCAACCGGGGAACUGCGUCUGAUACUGGAUGGCUUGAAUCCGGAAGAGGGAUGCGGAAUUCCAGGUGUAGCGGUGAAAUGCGUAGAUAUCUGGAGGAACACCGGUGGCGAAGGCGGCAUCCUGGGUCGGCAUUGACGCUGAGGAGCGAAAGCCAGGGGAGCAAACGGG
rnacentral:rRNA from 1 species